rnacentral:misc_RNA from 1 species
AAUAGAACGUGUUGAUGAUG